UACAGAGGGGGCAAGCGUUGUUCGGAAUUACUGGGCGUAAAGGGCGCGUAGGCGGCCUUCUAAGUCGAACGUGAAAUCCCCGGGCUCAACCCGGGAACUGCGUCCGAUACUGGAAGGCUUGAAUCCGGGAGAGGGAUGCGGAAUUCCAGGUGUAGCGGUGAAAUGCGUAGAUAUCAGGAGGAACACCGGUGGCGAAGGCGGUUCUCUGGGCAUUGCCUGACGCUGAGGAGCGAAAGUGUGGGGAGCGAACAGG
rnacentral:rRNA from 1 species